UACGUAGGGUGCGAGCGUUGUCCGGAAUUAUUGGGCGUAAAGAGCUUGUAGGCGGUUUGUCGCGUCUGCUGUGAAAAUCCGGGGCUCAACCCCGGACUUGCAGUGGGUACGGGCAGACUAGAGUGCGGUAGGGGAGAUUGGAAUUCCUGGUGUAGCGGUGGAAUGCGCAGAUAUCAGGAGGAACACCAAUGGCGAAGGCAGAUCUCUGGGCCGUAACUGACGCUGAGGCGCGAAAGCGUGGGGAGCAAACAGG
rnacentral:rRNA from 1 species